rnacentral:rRNA from 1 species
AGAGUUUGAUCCUGGCUCAGGACGAACGCUGGCGGCGUGCUUAACACAUGCAAGUCGAACGGAAAGGCCCUUCGGGGUACUCGAGUGGCGAACGGGUGAGUAACACGUGGGUGAUCUGCCCUGCACUCUGGGAUAAGCCUGGGAAACUGGGUCUAAUACCGGAUAGGACCACACACUUCAUGGUGAGUGGUGCAAAGCUUUUGCGGUGUGGGAUGAGCCCGCGGCCUAUCAGCUUGUUGGUGGGGUAAUGGCCCACCAAGGCGACGACGGGUAGCCGGCCUGAGAGGGUGACCGGCCACACUGGGACUGAGAUACGGCCCAGACUCCUACGGGAGGCAGCAGUGGGGAAUAUUGCACAAUGGGCGCAAGCCUGAUGCAGCGACGCCGCGUGAGGGAUGACGGCCUUCGGGUUGUAAACCUCUUUCAGUAGGGACGAAGCGAAAGUGACGGUACCUACAGAAGAAGGACCGGCCAACUACGUGCCAGCAGCCGCGGUAAUACGUAGGGUCCGAGCGUUGUCCGGAAUUACUGGGCGUAAAGAGCUCGUAGGUGGUUUGUCGCGUUGUUCGUGAAAACUCACAGCUUAACUGUGGGCGUGCGGGCGAUACGGGCAGACUAGAGUACUGCAGGGGAGACUGGAAUUCCUGGUGUAGCGGUGGAAUGCGCAGAUAUCAGGAGGAACGCCGGUGGCGAAGGCGGGUCUCUGGGCAGUAACUGACGCUGAGGAGCGAAAGCGUGGGUAGCGAACAGGAUUAGAUACCCUGGUAGUCCAA